ACUCUAUCCAGAGACAAUAUCCUUCAGAAGUGAAGAAUCAAUCAAAACAUUCACAGAUGAAGGAAAACUAAAAGAAUAUGACACAAGAUUCACCAAAUUAGACCUACAUCAAAAGAGUGGCUAAAGUAAGUUCUCUUCUAAACAGAAAGGAAAUGAUAAAGAAUCUUGUAACAUCAUGCAAGGAGAAAGAACACAGCAAAAAUAUAGACACAUUGUACUUUGAAGGUCAACACUGGAUCCUGGGAUGAAGUUGAAAAGAUCAUUAUCUAGAAGAACAGUAGAAAACAAACAUUACCCCAAGGAAUUGGGACAUGAUGUUUCUCUUUUAGUAUCAUGUCUGCAUUCAGGUCUCAAGCCAGCCAGCCUUUGAAUUGGAAAUGAAAAUUGGCUCUCCUGGUUCUCAGGCCUUUGAACUUGGACUGGAACCCUACCAUUGGCUCUCCCCAGUCUCCAGAUUGCUAACUCACCCUGCAGAUGUUAGGUCUUG